UACGUAGGGCGCAAGCGUUGUCCGGAAUUAUUGGGCGUAAAGAGCUCGUAGGCGGCUUGUCACGUCGGAUGUGAAAGCCCGAGGCUUAACCUCGGGUCUGCAUUCGAUACGGGCUAGCUAGAGUGUGGAAGGGGAGAUCGGAAUUCCUGGUGUAGCGGUGAAAUGCGCAGAUAUCAGGAGGAACACCGGUGGCGAAGGCGGAUCUCUGGGCCAUUACUGACGCUGAGGAGCGAAAGCGUGGGGAGCGAACAGG
rnacentral:rRNA from 1 species